ACGGGUGAGUAACACGUGGGUAAUCUGCCCUGCACUUCGGGAUAAGCCUGGGAAACUGGGUCUAAUACCGGAUAGGACCAAAAGGCGCAUGCCUUGUGGUGGAAAGCUUUUGCGGUGUGGGAUGGGCCCGCGGCCUAUCAGCUUGUUGGUGGGGUGACGGCCUACCAAGGCGACGACGGGUAGCCGGCCUGAGAGGGUGUCCGGCCACACUGGGACUGAGAUACGGCCCAGACUCCUACGGGAGGCAGCAGUGGGGAAUAUUGCACAAUGGGCGCAAGCCUGAUGCAGCGACGCCGCGUGGGGGAUGACGGCCUUCGGGUUGUAAACCUCUUUCACCAUCGACGAAGGUCCGGGUUUUCUCGGAUUGACGGUAGGUGGAGAAGAAGCACCGGCCAACUACGUGCCAGCAGCCGCGGUAAUACGUAGGGUGCGAGCGUUGUCCGGAAUUACUGGGCGUAAAGAGCUCGUAGGUGGUUUGUCGCGUUGUUCGUGAAAUCUCACGGCUCAACUGUGAGCGUGCGGGCGAUACGGGCAGACUGGAGUACUGCAGGGGAGACUGGAAUUCCUGGUGUAGCGGUGGAAUGCGCAGAUAUCAGGAGGAACACCGGUGGCGAAGGCGGGUCUCUGGGCAGUAACUGACGCUGAGGAGCGAAAGCGUGGGGAGCGAACAGGAUUAGAUACCCUGGUAGUCCACGCCGUAAACGGUGGGUACUAGGUGUGGGUUUCCUUCCUUGGGAUCCGUGCCGUAGCUAACGCAUUAAGUACCCCGCCUGGGAGUACGGCCGCAAGGCUAAAACUCAAAGGAAUUGACGGGGG
rnacentral:rRNA from 1 species